UACGGAGGGUGCAAGCGUUAUCCGGAUUCACUGGGUUUAAAGGGUGCGUAGGCGGACAAGUAAGUCAGUGGUGAAAUCUCUGGGCUUAACUCAGAAACUGCCGUUGAUACUAUUUGUCUUGAAUAUCUUGGAGGUAAGCGGAAUAUGUCAUGUAGCGGUGAAAUGCUUAGAUAUGACAUAGAACACUAAUUGCGAAGGCAGCUUACUAUGGUUUUAUUGACACUGAGGCACGAAAGCGUGGGGAUCAAACAGG
rnacentral:rRNA from 1 species